rnacentral:lncRNA from 1 species
AAAGGAAAUAAAGUAUAUUUCCAUUUCUUAGUCUUCUGUGUCUUGUAUCUGUAAUGACAUCAUGAAUAUCUGGAAUUAGAAUUUGAUAGAAAACUAUCUCACUUGGAUCACACAUUUUGAGAGAGUGUUUGAAUGGAUGGCAUUUUUAUUCAAUUUUUUUAUAUUCAUAUGUUUACCUAUUCGGACCAUGCAUGAAUAUCAGAAAACAUUUGGGUCCCAUGAUAGUUGCCCCACUUUUCAGUGGGCUUCAAGAAGGGGGCAUCCAGGUGCUAUUCUUGUUCCGCAGGACAGCAUGAACAGCUAAAGAUCCUUGGGUUAGACUUUGGAUAUGAACGAUUUUUUAGUGCUAUAUUUAUUUCACAGAUCAACUUCAUCAGACACCAUACAGCAAAUUUUAAACUCUUCAGUAUUAGGUUAAGAGCUUACUGGCAUUUGUUGCUUCUAAUAUUUUAUUCUUUAUAAACCGACGGUUGCCUACAAAAAGGAGUUGUAUCUAUGGGCUCUAUAGCUCAGACCUGCUACUACUCAUGUCAUCAAGUGUAGAGGUUAUCUACAAUUAUUUUUGACCAUAGAUGCUAUCAUCUAUUCAUCUUGUAAAAAAAUUUAACUGAGAGAACCAGUUUGCAAAAGUUACUGUGGUGUCAUAAUAAUCUUAGUUUUUUUCAGUUACUUUGCUACAUAAUCAAGUUUUUUCAUGUAUUUUAAAUUGAAUCUUGAUUCUUCUAAUUACAU